ACUUUCCGUUUGCGUUGGGCUUCUCAACGCUAACGGAUAUCACGUGACAGUUGACUUACCCGUUGGAAAACGCGUUGUUGGUCGUCUCUGUUGACUAAAAAUUGUUGUGUUUUGAAUGUGACACCGCGUGCACAAUAUCAUUUAGAGGUUAGCUCAACGCUCUCAACUACGAACGAGUAGCAAAGGUCGACAUCGGCAAUGGUCGAUUCGUGGCGAACGGUCAGAGGUCGAUUCGCGAACGGUCAUACGUCGAUGCCCGAACGCACCGAACCAAUCGAACCUAGUUCACCAUUGUGCAUUUUCUUUUUCAUUUUAUUUUACUUUUCAUUUUAUCGUUUGUUGCAAAUGGAGCAUUAUGUAUAGGCUGCUUGUCUUUGCCGUGGACGACACUAAAGACCUCUAAGUUUAAGUAGCUCUCUUAGCAGAACGAGAGCCAUAAUGGAUCAGGAAAUUCCAUCAAUGCACCCUGUCUCUCUUUAGUAGGGAGCCGAGGCACCCUUCUAUGACUCAGUCUUGUCACGUUACAGUAUGAGGAACUGCGCAAAAGCAGAUUGAAGCAAAGGAAACUGUGUCGGUAGUAAAUUCUAGGUAUCCUACAUGAAUGUAUUUAUUUCCAAGUAACUCCUGUGGGUAACAAAACGUUGGCUUCCACAUCAAGAAUAAAGUUGUCAAAGUAGAGGCUUGAAAGCAACUUACAAUGAAGUAGAUGUAAAGACCUGUGAUAUUAAAGCGUAUUAAAGGUCAUAAGGAACUUUACCAUCGAAGAAAUCUUCAGUCAUGGCGACUAUGACCAUGGAGCAGAGACGUUUCCCUCGCUGUAUGAGAAAAUCUGCCAUUAAAGUUUUUCAAGAACAAGAAAAGCUACAGUUUCAUCUGCAUUUUUCAUCAACUUGGUUCUCAAGAAACCUUCAAUGAUCAGACGCAAUGAUAUGCUCCUUUGGCGUGGUAGCGAGUGGAGAUAAUCUAUGAACUGCUGAAAGACUACUUUUUCCUCAAAAAGUGGAUUUUUCCACCUACCUACACGAAAGUCGUAGAAUGUCCACUCAAUUAGGGCUCAGACUGAAAAAGAAAUUAAUUAAUUAAUUUAAACUGACUCAAAAACACUUCCGGAUUAACAGCUUCGAUUAACUUCCCACCGUUCCGACAAUGAACAGCAGUGGCUA